UAAAAGAGAGUUGUUACAUUCAUCAUGCAUAUAUCAUUUCUUCUAUCUUUUCAUUUCUAUAACAUACAAUUAUCUCAUCUUAAAUUAGCUUUAUUAAUUUUAUGUCAUCCUGAUUAUUUUGAAAUGAAGAUGAAAAUGAUGACAACAAGUAUCAUGAGCUUGUUAGCUCUUAUCAUGCUGUUGAGCAAUGGAUUCAUGGUUUUAGGUAGCAGACAAAACUUGUUAGAACACAAGUUUAGCAAUAAAUUUUUCCUCGAAGAAGCAGGUCCAUCCCCUAGAGGAGAGGGACAUGAUGCACCUGGACAUAAAGGUCCACCACCUACAAAAAAUUUUCAAAAACAAACUCAUGAAUUUUCAAUUGAAGGAUCAGGUCCAUCCGACGGAGGACAGGGACAUAAACUUCCACCUGUCCAUCCACCACCUACAAAAAAUUUUCAAAAGCAAACUCAUGAAUUUUCAAUUGAAGGAUCAGGUCCAUCCGACGGAAGACAGGGACAUAAACUCCCACCUGUCCAUCCACCACCUACAAAAAAUUUCCAAAAACAAACUCAUGAAUUUUCAAUUGAAGGAUCGGGUCCAUCCGACGGAGGACAGGGACAUAAACUUCCACCUGUCCAUCCACCACCUACAAAAAAUUUCCAAAAGCAAACUUAUGAAUUUUCAAUUGAAGGAUCCGGUCCAUCCGACGGAGGACAGGGACAUAAACUCCCACCUGUCCAUCCACCACCUACAAAAAAUUUCCAAAAGCAAACUCAUGAAUUUUCAAUUGAAGGAUCCGGUCCAUCCGACGGAGGACAGGGACAUAAACUUCCACCUAUCCAUCCACCACCUACAAAAAAUUUUCAAAAGCAAACUCAUGAAUUUUCAAUUGAAGGAUCCGGUCCAUCCGACGGAGGACAGGGACAUAAACUUCCACCUGUCCAUCCACCACCUACAAAAAAUUUCCAAAAGCAAACUCAUGAAUUUUCAAUUGAAGGAUCAGGUCCAUCCGACGGAGGAGAGGGACAUAAACUUCCACCUGGCCAUGGAGGUCCACCACAUUCAUUUUAUUUUUAUUAGUGACAGUUCUACAAUAAUUAUUUUCUUUAAUCUAUAUUUAAUGCUUACGGUGUUAUUAUAUUAGUUUAGAUCAAAUAUAAUUCAAUUAAAAUUACUAUUUUAGCAUUGAUCAAAUUGAAAAUCAAACUUGCAAAUAAAAAUUUUCGUAGAUCGAAUAAAAUCGAAUUUGUUUUGGUCCGCCGAUCCUAAAUUUCACCAAAUCUAUUUUUAAUACCAUGCAUAAAUAUUAA
rnacentral:lncRNA from 1 species